rnacentral:rRNA from 1 species
AGAGUUUGAUCAUGGCUCAGGACGAACGCUGGCGGCGUGCCUAACACAUGCAAGUCGAACGAGAAAGUGGAGCAAUCCAUGAGUAGAGUGGCGACCGGGUGAGUAACACGUGACUAACCUACCUUCGAGUGGGGAAUAACCUCGGGAAACCGGGGCUAAUACCGCAUAAUGUCUUCGGACCAAAGGAGCAAUUCGCUGGA